GCCAGGCAUUUACAUAGAGAUAGCCAACACUGUUCCUCCUACAGAUAAGGAGUCAGCAUCUUUUCCAUGCCUCAAGACCCACUGCAGGGGCCAUGCAACCACUGACAUAGGAACAAGGCAAGUCUCUUAUAUCACAUCACCAUUUCAGGAUUUUACCCUCCUGGUGCCUAACCCUCAGUUCACUUCCUUGAUACAUAUAGGCAGGACGAUGCAAUCAUUCCUCCCCAAUUCAUCUUGAAUUCUGCCAGGUCCCUGUUUGGGUGCCAACAGUUUUGUGACAGAUGUUUACUGGGGAGACACAGACACAUCUAUUCCCCCCAUCCAACAAAAAAGAAGCUCACAAGAGACCAAAGUAACAAUUGCAUCAGUGACCCACUUGGCGGACCAGUGGUUAUUUAUUUAUUUAUUUAUUUAUUUAUUUUGUGAUUACUGACAGCAUGGGUGAGAAGUUGCUUACAGGGUCAGCACACCAUUGUAACUGUGACUUCAAAGCCUUCACUCACGCACAGACCUUCCUGGUCCCCAGUGCUGGCGACAGUCUCCAUGUUCCCUGGGGUCUUCAUGUCUAUUUGCGUACAGGGAAAGACUCUGUCUUUUUAUCAGCCUAACUCCAAAUGAAGUAGGAUAUAAUAAGGCCCCCUUAGUGCAUAGCAUUCUCAGUUCUCCAUGAUAUAAGGCCCAGGUUCCUUAGAACAGGACAACAAGCAAGUCUUCUGUGACUAAGCUGUUGUGCCAACCCCCUACUCAUUUCUUGCCACUUAUUCCAAAGGCAUUCCAGAUUAUUAAUCUUUCUUCAAAGAUGCUGAGUAAUUGUGACCUUUCGAUUUUUCCUACUUCCGGUCCAUCUGCUUGAAAAGCUGCCCCAGCAGGCUGGGGAGCAGAACUGCAGAAGAAGCCUUACCUCUCUGGAGUAACCAAGAUGUCCCAAGCAACACUGAUGCCACAGCGUUGUGGCCCACAGAGCAGUGCACAAAGAAUCAUUAUAAGCUAAUCCUGAUGUGUCUUACCCGUGUGUGCCUGCGUUUUCCUCUACUGCUCCAUAGCAUGGACUUCACAUGCCCUAUGCAUAUCAUGCAUCUAAUCUUCAUAUCUGCACAAGCAAUUAUUGCAGACUUUCCAUAGGGGUUUUUGUCUUUUAAUGAUAAAAAUGGAUGGACACAAAAUUACUGAUUUGGAGAUGUUUAUUCAAAUAAUUACUGUGAAUAUAUAUUCUUAGAUUUCUUUCUUUUAUCACUAUAGCUACUACCUUUACAUUUUCCUCUAAAAUUUUUUCACAUAUGUUUUUUGGUUUACGGGGGUUGUUGUUGUUGUUGUUGCUGCUGCUGCUGUUGCUACUGCUGCUGCUGUUUUGGACAUGGUUUUGCUAUAUAAAUCAAGAGCAGCCUGAAAGUCAUGACCACCAUACCUAAUAUUAACCUUUUGUUACUCUAACUGUGCCAAACUACUGCAUUUUCACUAAACUUUUAAUAAAGUCCAUGAUGUAUGCACUU
ensembl:processed_transcript Gm26974 predicted gene, 26974